UACGAAGGGGGCUAGCGUUGUUCGGAAUCACUGGGCGUAAAGCGCACGUAGGCGGAUCUUUAAGUCAGGGGUGAAAUCCCGAGGCUCAACCUCGGAACUGCCUUUGAUACUGGGGAUCUCGAGUCCGGGAGAGGUGAGUGGAACUGCGAGUGUAGGGGUGAAAUUCGUAGAUAUUCGCAAGAACACCAGUGGCGAAGGCGGCUCACUGGCCCGGAACUGACGCUGAGGUGCGAAAGCGUGGGGAGCAAACAGG
rnacentral:rRNA from 1 species